rnacentral:miRNA from 1 species
GUAGUUUUUGGUAUCAGGAU